AUGCGCGGGGCGGCGCGGCCGGGGCGGCUGGGCCGGGGCCGCCUCCCGGGGGCCCGCGGCCUGAGGGCCCCGCCGCCGCCGCCGCCGCCGCCGCUGCUGCUCGUACUCGCGAUGCUGCUGCUGCUGCCCGCGCCCGGCUCCGCCGCCGCCGCCGCCGCCGCCGUCCCGGCCCCGCGGCCCCCGGCGCUGCCGCCCGCGGGCGCGGGGCCCAGCGUGAGCCUCUACCUGAGCGAGGACGAGGUGCGCCGGCUGAUCGGUCUUGAUGCAGAACUUUAUUAUGUGAGAAAUGACCUCAUUAGUCAUUAUGCUCUAUCCUUUAACCUGUUAGUACCCACUGAGACAAACUUCCUGCACUUCACUUGGCAUGCGAAGUCCAAGGUUGAAUAUAAGCUGGGAUUUCAAAUAGACAAUUUUGUGGCUAUGGACAUGCCCCAAGUCAACAUUUCUGUUCAGGGGGAAGUUCCACGCACUUUAUCAGUGUUUCGGGUCGAGCUUUCCUGUACUGGCAAAGUAGAUUCUGAAGUUAUGAUAAUAAUGCAGCUCAAUUUGACAGUAAAUUCUUCAAAAAAUUUUACAGUCUUAAAUUUUAAACGAAGGAAAAUGUGCUACAAAAAACUUGAAGAAGUAAAAACUUCAGCCUUGGACAAAAACACUAGCAGAACUAUUUAUGAUCCUGUACAUGCAGCUCCAACCACUUCUACGCGUGUGUUUUAUAUCAGUGUAGGGGUUUGUUGUGCAGUAAUAUUUCUUGUAGCAAUAAUAUUAGCUGUUUUGCACCUUCAUAGUAUGAAAAGGAUUGAACUGGAUGACAGCAUCAGUGCCAGCAGUAGUUCCCAAGGGCUUUCGCAGCCAUCCACCCAGACAACUCAGUAUCUGAGAGCUGACACACCCAACAAUGCAACUCCUAUCACCAGCUCCUCAGGUUAUCCUACCUUGCGGAUAGAGAAGAAUGACUUGAGAAGUGUCACUCUUUUGGAGGCCAAAGCCAAGGUGAAGGAUAUAGCAAUAUCCAGGGAGAGGAUAACUCUAAAAGAUGUAUUGCAAGAAGGUACUUUUGGGCGUAUUUUUCAUGGGAUUUUAGUAGAUGAAAAAGAUCCAAAUAAAGAAAAACAAGCAUUUGUGAAAACAGUUAAAGAUCAAGCUUCUGAAAUUCAGGUGACGAUGAUGCUUACUGAAAGUUGUAAGCUGCGAGGUCUUCAUCACAGAAAUCUUCUUCCUAUUACUCAUGUGUGUAUAGAAGAAGGAGAAAAGCCCAUGGUGAUAUUGCCUUAUAUGAAUUGGGGGAAUCUUAAAUUGUUUUUACGGCAGUGCAAAUUAGUAGAGGCCAAUAAUCCACAGGCAAUUUCUCAACAAGACCUGGUACACAUGGCUAUUCAGAUUGCCUGUGGAAUGAGCUACCUGGCCAGAAGGGAAGUCAUCCACAAAGACCUGGCUGCUAGGAACUGUGUCAUUGAUGACACCCUUCAAGUUAAGAUCACAGACAAUGCCCUCUCCAGAGACUUGUUUCCCAUGGAUUAUCACUGUCUGGGAGACAAUGAAAACAGGCCAGUUCGGUGGAUGGCUCUUGAAAGUCUGGUUAAUAAUGAGUUCUCUAGUGCUAGUGAUGUGAUCUGUGGGCAGUUUGGUAUUAUUGGAGCACCAUGUUCAAGGCAGAGAGUAGCAGAGAGAAGAUUAAAGGGGUAAAUUGCAGAUGUGCUGUAAAGCCACAUUAAUGUGGCUGCAUGACCAGUGCUGGGGCUCCAUGACAUCGACGUGCCCGCAUCUGGAAGGGCAAGAACAGAAGUGGAAAGCAAGUGAUUUCCUUCCAGGUUUGAUGCAGAUCAAGAUGGUGAAAUAGACAGUCCCAAGCAUCACUCUCUCCCACAUCAACCAAUUUACAACUAUUAAAAAGCAACGACAGUCAAGCUGAGACCACUAGUGCCCAGGGGAAGAGGAGGAGAGACCUACGGAGUUCAUGAAGGUGGGAAAAGCCACAAUGAGAGAAAGAAAGACCACUCCAACCAUUUCGGGCUCCUGAUCACCCUGAGGCUGGCCCUGGUGAGCCCACGGAGCAAGAGCUGGCAAAAGCUGCUGCUGCACCCUUUGUAUGAAGUUGCCCAGAGGCUGCAGGUCAGACGAGGGCCUUGGUGGCCCCCAGGCCAGCAAGACCACUAACAGGGUUCCAUGGACCCACAUAAGAGCGAGCUGCCACAAAUAACUGAAAAAAGGAGCCUCUCAGAGGCUGGUGAGUCAUCGCAAGGGACUGGUGCACAGCCAGCACCAGGGGAAGUGUUUGGAAUUUAGAGCGUGGGGGAGACGGGCCCACUGGGGGAACACUGGGGCACAGCAAGGACAGCUGAUCUGCCUCUCCAUCAGCACAGGACUACUCAGUGGAGACUGUUCAGGAACAUAGAACUGCAGGGGAUGCAGUUUACUGAAAAGACUCAGGCCCAGAUCAGAGUUUCCACACAACCGAGGAGUACCAGAUCUCACAAGACCCAGAAGUGUUUACAAGGUCAACAAUUAAAACCUGUGCUGCACAAAAAGCCUUCCCCAGAGAAUCAGCAGCAAAGCAGCAAUUUAGCUCAACCACAGGACUCAAGUGCUGGUCCCCACAGGAAGUUUCCCCAUAUUACAAGUAAGCAGAGGACAAUAAAUUAGUUCUAGUGCAGAGUUUAAGUGGUGGGAACAGUGAAUAAUCCAACACAGAACUGAAAGAAAAAACAAAAAACCCACAGAUCAGAGACAAAGUUCUGAUAUUAACCAGUAAAGGUCUAACACCACCAAAGAACACCUGUAACACCUAGAAGGACAGGAAGCCCUGUGGGCUCCCAAACCUCAGCCUUCCCCCCACCACCAACAUCCGCAUCCAGCCUGGUGAUGACCACCAGGCCGCCACCAGAAGCACCCCAGGCUCUUGAGCUGGGGCAGUGGGGAACUGAAGGACUGGAAGCCCCCCAGACUCCCAAGCUUCAGCCAUGCCCCCCUGAAAUCUGCAUCCAACCCAGCCACGACCAAGCCACCACCAGAAGCCCUCUGGGCUCCCCUGCUGGAAUGAGGGGGGUGCCAUGGACCUUGACCACACCCCCCCUCCUACUCCCACCCUUUCCCCUCUCCCCACUCUCCCAACUGCUCC